GCGGGGAUAGCUCAGCUGGGAGAGCGUCAGACUGAAGCCCACUUCUGUCUUCUGAUAAUCUGAAGGUCGUGUGUUCGAUCCACACUCACCGCA
rnacentral:tRNA from 1 species